AGAUUGAACGCUGGCGGCAUGCCUUACACAUGCAAGUCGAACGGCAGCACGGGGGCAACCCUGGUGGCGAGUGGCGAACGGGUGAGUAACAUAUCGGAACGUGCCCUGGAGUGGGGGAUAACUAGUCGAAAGAUUAGCUAAUACCGCAUACGAUCUACGGAUGAAAGUGGGGGAUCGCAAGACCUCAUGCUCGUGGAGCGGCCGAUAUCUGAUUAGCUAGUUGGUGGGUAAAGGCCUACCAAGGCAUCGAUCAGUAGCUGGUCUGAGAGGACGACAGCCACACUGGACUGAGACACGGCCCAGACUCCGUACGGGAGCAGCGAGGUGGGGAAUUUUGGACUAAGUCGGGACGACGAAACGGCCUUAGGACUCCG
rnacentral:rRNA from 1 species